GGGAGACCUUUUAUGAGAAUCGCUUACCCCUUCUGAGGAAGGUUGAAGGCGUUUACAUUACCUCCUCCUGACUCAGGCAGGUAGUGACGAGAAAUAAUAAUAGUCCUGCUCUAAGCAUGAUCUAAUUGGAAUGAGUACAAUUUAGACAUCUUAACGAGAACCCAUUGGAGGGCAAGUCUGAUGCCUCCAGCUGAGUAAAUUCCCGUUCCAAUAGAGCAUACUAAGGUUGGUGCAGUUAACAAGCUCGUAGACUUAUUUCUGAUCGCCCGGCCUAUCCAGUGCCGCUUUUGCUUCAUCACUAGCAACGCCCGCGCAUCCUGCCGCCAACGACACUUCCAUUGAUUUGAUGCCUGUUCUUGAUUUCCUCAUUUACUUUGAGAAAAAUAAAGUGUUCAAAGAAGUCCAACCCGACUUGAAAAACUUAGCAUGAAAUAAUGAUAAAGGAUUUCGGUUCUAUUUUGUUGGUGUUCCGGGUCAGAAGUAAUGAAUGAUAGGGACGGUCGGGGGCGUCCGUAUUUCGGAGCGAGAGGGGAAAUUAUUAGACCUCCGGAAGAAUAACCGCCGCGAAAGCAAUCACCAAGCACGUUUCCUUUCAUCAAGAACGAAAGAAGGGGGAUGGAAGGCCAUCAGACACGGUCGUAGUUUCAUCUAUAAAUUAUACCAGUUAGGGAUCGAUCGAUGUUGUAAACAUAAGACUCCGUCGGCACCUUAUGAGAAAUCAAAGCAUCUGGGUUCCGGGGGGAGUAUGGUCGCAAGGCUGAAACUUAAAGGAAUUGACGGAAGGGCACCACCAGGCGUGGGGCCUGCGGCUUAAUUUGACUCAACACGGGGGAACUCACCAGGUCCAGACAUAGUGAGGAUGACAGACUGACAUCUCUCUCUUGAUUCUACGGGUGGUGGUGCAUGGCCGUUCUUAGUUGGUGGAGUGAUUUGUCUGGUUAAUUCCGUUAACGAACGAGACACCGACCUGCUAAUAAUAGCGCGCGUGAGCUUUCAUUGCUCCCCAGCGAGCUUCUCAGAGGGACUAGUGCUCGACUCUAGGCACGGGAAGCUCAGGGCAAUUCAUGAUCUGUGAUGCCCUUAGAUGUUCUGGCCCGCACACGGUCCACACUGAGCCUGCAACGAGCAGAUCAGCUGCCCCGAGAGGGUCUCUUAUGGCUAAUCUUUUGACCCGGCCCCGUGCUAGGGAUCGACCUUCGCAAUUAUGGGUCAUGCAACGAGGAAUGCCUUGGAAAUGCGACUCCUCAUCUCGCGUCCAUACGUUCCUCCCCAUAGUACACACCGCGCCGUCACUCCAACCGAGAAACGUUCCGAGGAAAUUCUCGGAGGGCUCCUGUCACCCGCCGCGAGUCGGCGAACGGGAGACCCGAAGUCGCUUAAAUCUGAUCAGAUCGAGGAAGGAGAAGUCGUACCAAGGUACCC
rnacentral:rRNA from 1 species